rnacentral:rRNA from 1 species
AGAGUUUGAUCCUGGCUCAGAACGAACGCUGGCGGCAUGCUUCAGACAUGCAAGUCGAACGAGAUCUUCGGAUCUAGUGGCGCACGGGUGAGUAACGCGUGGGAACCUACCUUUCAGUAUGGGAUAACAGUUGGAAACGACUGCUAAUACCGUAUACGCCCUCCGGGGGAAAGGUCAGCCGCUGAAAGAGGGGCCCGCGUCUGAUUAGCUUGUUGGUAGGGUAAUGGCCUACCAAGGCUACGAUCAGUAGCUGGUCUGAGAGGAUGAUCAGCCACACUGGGACUGAGACACGGCCCAGACUCCUACGGGAGGCAGCAGUCGGGAAUAUUGGACAAUGGAGGCAACUCUGAUCCAGCAAUGCCGCGUGUGUGAUGAAGGCCCUAGGGUUGUAAAGCACUUUCAACGGUGAAGAUGAUGACGGUAGCCGUAGAAGAAGCCCCGGCUAACUUCGUGCCAGCAGCCGCGGUAAUACGAAGGGGGCGAGCGUUGUUCGGAAUUAUUGGGCGUAAAGGGCGCGCAGGCGGUUUAGAUAGUUAGACGUGAAAGCCCUGGGCUUAACCCAGGAACUGCGUUUAAUACUGCUAAACUAGAGAACUAGAGAGGAUAGCGGAACUCCCAGUGUAGAGGUGAAAUUCGUAGAUAUUGGGAAGAACAUCAGUGGCGAAAGCGGCUGUCUGGCUAGUUUCUGACGCUGAGGCGCGAAAGCGUGAGGAGCAAACAGGAUUAGAUACCCUGGUAGUCCACGCCGUAAACGAUGUGU